rnacentral:rRNA from 1 species
AUGGAGAGUUUUCAUGACUACAAGAUGGUGAAUGACCGUUCUGUGGUUGAACAAGCUCAUGAGAUACAGUGCAUUGUGAAGGAACUUAAACUCCUUAAAUGUGUUCUACCCGACAAAUUCGUGGUUGGGUGCAUGAUUGCAAAGUUGCCUCCUUCAUGGAGGAAUUUCGCCACAACUCUGAAGCAUAAGAGACAGGAGAUAUCAGUUGAAAAUCUGAUUGCAUCUCUUGAUGUUGAAGAAAAAGCUCGGGCUAAAGAUACCACUGAAAAAAGAGGUGAGGUUCAGCCUACUGCUAACAUGGUGCAGAGGUACCCACAGAACAAGAACAAAGGGAAGAACAAAUAUGUUUCGAACAAGCCUACCAAGACUACUACCUUCAAGAAGAAGAAGUUCAACAAGGCUGAGCUAGAGUGCUACGCCUGUGGGAAGCCUGGACACUUUUCCAAGGAAUGCCCUGAACGUGCAGACCGCAGAGGGAAAACAAACUCCAAGACUGUCAACAUGGUGACCGCUAGCAAUACUGAUGGGUAUGGUCGCAAGGGAUUCUUCCGUCCUAAUGGGGAAUGGGUCACAUGCUUCUGUUCGUGGCAUUGGCACGGUGGAUCUGAAGUUUACUUCGGGAAAGAUCGUGCAACUAAGGAACGUGCAGCAUGUCCCUACUAUGAAUAA